GAUGAACGCUGGCGGCGUGCUUAACACAUGCAAGUCGAACGGGGUACCCAUGACAGAGGCUUCGGCCAAUUGAUUGGAAUACCUAGUGGCGGACGGGUGAGUAACGCGUGAGGAACCUGCCUUGGAGUGGGGAAUAACAGUUGGAAACAGCUGCUAAUACCGCAUGAUAUGUCCGUGUCGCAUGGCACUGGACAUCAAAGAGUUAUCGCUCUGAGAUGGCCUCGCGUCUGAUUAGCUAGUUGGUGGGGUAACGGCUCACCAAGGCGACGAUCAGUAGCCGGACUGAGAGGUUGGCCGGCCACAUUGGGACUAAGACACGGCCCAGACUCCUACGGGAGGCAGCAGUGGGGAAUAUUGGGCAAUGGGCGCAAGCCUGACCCAGCAACGCCGCGUGAAGGAAGAAGGCUUUCGGGUUGUAAACUUCUUUUGUCAGGGACGAUAGUGACGGUACCUGACGAAUAAGCCACGGCUAACUACGUGCCAGCAGCCGCGGUAA
rnacentral:rRNA from 1 species